AUUAAACGCUGGCGGCAUGCCUUACACAUGCAAGUCGAACGGCAGCACGGGGGCAACCCUGGUGGCGAGUGGCGAACGGGUGAGUAAAGCAUCGGAACGUGCCCUGGAGUGGGGGGAUAACGUAGCGAAAGUUACGCUAAUACCGCAUAUUCUGUGAGCAGGAAAGCAGGGGAUCGCAAGACCUUGCGCUCUGGGAGCGGCCGAUGUCGGAUUAGCUAGUUGGUGGGGUAAAGGCCUACCAAGGCGACGAUCCGUAGCGGGUCUGAGAGGAUGAUCCGCCACACUGGGACUGAGACACGGCCCAGACUCCUACGGGAGGCAGCAGUGGGGAAUUUUGGACAAUGGGCGAAAGCCUGAUCCAGCCAUGCCGCGUGAGUGAAGAAGGCCUCGGUGUAAG
rnacentral:rRNA from 1 species